rnacentral:rRNA from 1 species
GCGUUGUCCGGAAUUAUUGGGCGUAAAGAGCUCGUAGGCGGUCUGUCGCGUCGGCUGUGAAAUCCCGGGGCUCAACCCCGGGCCUGCAGUCGAUACGGGCAGACUAGAGUGCGGUAGGGGAGACUGGAAUUCCUGGUGUAGCGGUGAAAUGCGCAGAUAUCAGGAGGAACACCGGUGGCGAAGGCGGGUCUCUGGGCCGUAACUGACGCUGAGGAGCGAAAGCGUGGGGAGCAAACAGG